rnacentral:piRNA from 1 species
GGGCUUUGUAUGUUUAAGUGGGCAAUUA